rnacentral:tRNA from 1 species
GGAUUGUUGCUCAGUGGUAGAGCGCUCGCCUAGCAUGUGUGAGGCCCUGGGUUUGAUCCUCAGCCCA